rnacentral:rRNA from 1 species
UGGGGGAUAUUGCACAAUGGGGGAAACCCUGAUGCAGCGACGCCGCGUGGAGGAAGAAGGUUUUCGGAUUGUAAACUCCUGUCGUUAGGGACGAUAAUGACGGUACCUAACAAGAAAGCACCGGCUAACUACGUGCCAGCAGCCGCGGUAAAACGUAGGGUGCAAGCGUUGUCCGGAAUUACUGGGUGUAAAGGGAGCGCAGGCGGGAAGACAAGUUGGAAGUGAAAACCAUGGGCUCAACCCAUGAAUUGCUUUCAAAACUGUUUUUCUUGAGUAGUGCAGAGGUAGAUGGAAUUCCCGGUGUAGCGGUGGAAUGCGUAGAUAUCGGGAGGAACACCAGUGGCGGAGGCGGUCUACUGGGCACCAACUGACGCUGAGGCUCGAAAGCAUGGGUAGCAAACAGGAUUAGAUACCCUGGUAGUCCAUGCCGUAAACGAUGAUUACUAGGUGUUGGGGGAUUGACCCCCUCAGUGCCGCAGUUAACACAAUAAGUAAUCCACCUGGGGAGUACGACCGCAAGGUUGAAACUCAAAGGAAUUGACGGGGGCCCGCACAAGCAGUGGAGUAUGUGGUUUAAUUCGAAGCAACGCGAAGAACCUUACCAGGUCUUGACAUCCGAUGCAUAGCACAGAGAUGUGUGAAAUCCUUCGGGACAUCGAGACAGGUGGUGCAUGGUUGUCGUCAGCUCGUGUCGUGAGAUGUUGGGUUAAGUCCCGCAACGAGCGCAACCCUUAUUGCCAGUUACUACGUUAAGAGGACUCUGGCGAGACUGCCGUUGACAAAACGGAGGAAGGUGGGGAUGACGUCAAAUCAUCAUGCCCUUUAUGACCUGGGCUACACACGUACUACAAUGGCGUUAAACAAAGAGAAGCAAGACCGCGAGGUGGAGCAAAACUCAAAAACAACGUCUCAGUUCAGAUUGCAGGCUGCAACUCGCCUGCAUGAAGUCGGAAUUGCUAGUAAUCGCGGAUCAGCAUGCCGCGGUGAAUACGUUCCC